AUAAUACGGUGAUACUCCGUAUGGCUGAUUAUAUCAGAUAUCGUAUAUAUGAUAUUACCUAACUACUAGGAUAACGGUGGUAAUUCUAGAGCUAAUACAUGCUAAUAAUCGCAACUUCGGAAGGGAUGUGUAUAUUAGAUAAUAAACCAAUGCCCUUCGCGGCUCUAUGGUGAAUCAUGAUAACUAUACCGAUCGCAUAGCCUUGCGGUUCAUUCAUAUUUCUGCCCUAUAACUAUCGAUGGUAAGGUAUUGGCUUACCAUGGUAUCAACGGGUAACGGGGAAUUAGCGUUCGAUUCGGGAGAGGGAGCCUGAGAAACCGCUACCACAUCCAAGGAAGGCAGCAGGCGCGCAUAUUACCCAAUCCCGACACGCGGAGGUAGUGACAAUAUAUACUGAUACAGGGCUCUAUUGGGUCUUGUAAUUCGAAUGAGUACAAUUUAUACCUCUUAACGAGGAACAAUUGCAGGGCAAGUCUGGUGCCAGCAUCCGCGGUUAUACCAGGUCC
rnacentral:rRNA from 1 species